UGUUUUCCGACCACAAACAAGCAUACAGCCUGCUGAAUGUGACGUGCAGCCAAUCAGAAAGCGAGGUGAUGGACGUACGGAGCGGAAAAUAAAAUCAAAACAGCUGUUCUGACUUACCAAAAAGUCCAGUGGUCGCGCUGUCGCCACUCCUUUAAAGAACUCAUUUUCUUUUUCUUUUUGUAUCUUUUUUUUCCCUCUGUUUUAAAUAGUGCACAAAGUACUUCCAUUUGUUUGCUCUGAAGUCAAGUUUAAUCUUGCGAGAUUUCCUGUCUGAGCUGUGAAUGUUCGUGUGUGAAAUCUGUUCGUGUGUGCCUUCUGCCCCAUUCACAGGUUUCUAUGACCAUGAGAGAUUUGCAUUUGAUCUUUGCACAUCAAGGAGCCAUUCUGACCGUGUUUUAACACAGCCUGACUGUUGACCAGUGUGUCUUUAAAUAUCGUCACUGGAGCUUUGGAAAAAUAAAAUGACACGUUAAUGACAAAAUCUAAUGAACUGGCUUUGGUGCACAAUUAAUCAUGCAAAGUGAUCAAUUGUGAAACAUAAAUCCUUGAGGAAUUUAGAUUUGGCUAAAGCCUUAAACAUCAAAUUCAUCAUCCCAUUUUUCUCUGGGCCCACCUAAUAAGGAAACACUAUUU